rnacentral:rRNA from 1 species
CGAGAGGACCGGGAAGGACAGACCUCUGGUGUACCGGUUGUUCCGCCAGGAGCAUCGCCGGGUAGCCAAGUCUGGAUGUGAUAAGCGCUGAAAGCAUCUAAGCGCGAAGCCAACUCCAAGAUUAGAUUUCCCAUCCUGCUUAGGCAGGAGUAAGGCCCCUUGAAGACUACAAGGUUGAUAGGCCGCAGGUGUAAGUUCCGUAAGGAAUUCAGCUGAGCGGUACUAAUAGGCCGGGUAUUUGACCCACA